GUCCACGCCCUAAACGAUGCAGGUUUGCUGUUUCGAGUAUCGACCCUCGGAGUGGCGGAGCUAACGCGUUAAACCUGCCGCCUGGGAAGUACGAUCGCAAGAUUAAAACUCAAAGGAAUAGACGGGGACUCGCACAAGCGGUGGAACAUGAGGUUUAAUUCGACAAAGAACGAAGAACCUCACCAGGGUUUGAAAUGCUUAUUGCAAGCUUUUGGAAACAUUAGCCCUUCGCAAGAACAGUAAGCACAGGUGCUGCAUGGUUGUCGU
rnacentral:rRNA from 1 species